rnacentral:rRNA from 1 species
GACAGAGGGGGCAAGCGUUGCUCGGAAUUACUGGGCGUAAAGGGCGCGUAGGCGGGAUGGCAAGUCGGUCGUGAAAUCCUUCGGCUCAACCGAAGAACGUCGAUCGAUACUGCUGUUCUUGAGGGUUGCAGAGGAGACUGGAAUUCCCGGUGUAGCGGUGAAAUGCGCAGAUAUCAGGAGGAACACCGAUGGCGAAGGCAGCUCGCUGGGACGGUACUGACGCUGAGGCGCGAAAGCGUGGGGAGCAAACAGG